rnacentral:rRNA from 1 species
GACGAACGCUGGCGGCGUGCCUAACACAUGCAAGUCAGGGAGAAGGAGGUAGCAAUACUUCCGGAAACCGGCGCACGGGUGAGUAACACGUAGGUAACCUACCCUUGAGCGGGGAACAACAUCGAGAAAUCGGUGCUAAUACCGCAUAAUGCAACGAGACCGCAUGGUUUUGUUGUUAAAGAUCCGCAAGGAUCACUUGAGGAUGGACCUGCGCCCGAUUAGCUAGUUGGCGGAGUAAAAGCCCACCAAGGCAACGAUCGGUAGCCGACCUGAGAGGGUGAUCGGCCACACUGGAACUGAGAUACGGUCCAGACUCCUACGGGAGGCAGCAGUGAGGAAUAUUGG